ACGAACGCUGGCGGCGUGCCUAAUACAUGCAAGUCGAACGGUCUUUCUAUGGAAGCUUGCUUCCACUGAGAAGAUAGUGGCGAACGGGUGAGUAACACGUGGGUAACCUGCCCAUAAGAGGGGGAUAACAUCCGGAAACGGGUGCUAAUACCGCAUAGUUUUCUUGAUCGCAUGAUCGGGAAAGGAAAGACGGCCUUUGUGCUGUCGCUUAUGGAUGGACCCGCGGCGUAUUAGUUAGUUGGUGAGGUAACGGCUCACCAAGACGAUGAUACGUAGCCGACCUGAGAGGGUGAUCGGCCACAUUGGGACUGAGACACGGCCCAAACUCCUACGGGAGGCAGCAGUAGGGAAUCUUCCGCAAUGGACGAAAGUCUGACGGAGCAACGCCGCGUGAGUGAAGAAGGUUUUUCCGGAUCGUAAAACUCUGUUGUCAGAGAAGAACAAGUUGGAGAGUAACUGCUCCAGCCUUGACGGUAUCUGACCAGAAAGCCACGGCUAACUACGUGCCAGCCGCAGC
rnacentral:rRNA from 1 species